rnacentral:rRNA from 1 species
AGCAGUCGCCGCGGUAAUACGAAGGGUGCAAGCGUUACUCGGAAUUACUGGGCGUAAAGCGUGCGUAGGUGGUGGUUUAAGUCCGUUGUGAAAGCCCUGGGCUCAACCUGGGAAUUGCAGUGGAUACUGGAUCACUAGAGUGUGGUAGAGGAUAGUGGAAUUUCCGGUGUAGCAGUGAAAUGCGUAGAGAUCGGAAGGAACAUCUGUGGCGAAGGCGACUAUCUGGGCCAACACUGACACUGAGACACGAAAGCGUGGGGAGCAAACAGGAUUAGAUACCCCUGUAGUCCCUGUCUCUUAUAC